UACGUAGGGUGCAAGCGUUGUCCGGAAUUAUUGGGCGUAAAGAGCUUGUAGGCGGUUUGUCGCGUCUGCUGUGAAAUUUCGGGGCUCAACCCCGAACUACAGUGGGUAUGGGCAGACUAGAGUGUGGUAGGGGAGACUGGAAUUCCUGGUGAUAGCGGUGAAAUGCGCAGAUAUCAGGAGGAACACCGGUGGCGAAGGCGGGUCUCGUGGGACCGAA
rnacentral:rRNA from 1 species